rnacentral:rRNA from 1 species
GACGAACGCUGGCGGCGUGCCUAAUACAUGCAAGUCGAACGCUUUUUCUUUCACCGGAGCUUGCUCCACCGAAAGAAAAAGAGUGGCGAACGGGUGAGUAACACGUGGGUAAUCGGCCCAUCAGAAGGGGAUAACACUUGGAAACAGGUGCUAAUACAGUAUAACACUAUUUUCCGCAUGGAAGAAAGUUGAAAGGCGCUUUUGCGUCACUGAUGGAUGGACACGCGGUGCAUUAGCUAGUUGGUGAGGUAACGGCUCACCAAGGCAACGAUGCAUAGCCGACCUGAGAGGGUGAUCGGCCACACUGGGACUGAGACACGGCCCAGACUCCUACGGGAAGCAGCAGUAGGGAAUCUUCGGCAAUGGACGAAAGUCUGACCGAGCAACGCCGCGUGAGUGAAGAAGGUUUUCGGAUCGUAAAACUCUGUUGUUAGAGAAGAACAAGGAUGAGAGUAAAACGUUCAUCCCUUGACGGUAUCUAACCAGAAAGCCACGGCUAACUACGUGCCAGCCGCCGCAGUAA